UUUGGCUGUGUCCCUACCCAAAUCUCAUGUUGAAUUCUCACGUGUUGUUAGGGGGCACCUGGUGGAAGGUAAUUGAAUCAUGGGGGCAAGUGUUUCCUGUGCUGUUCUUGUGAUAGUGAAUAAGUCUUAUGGGAUCUGAUAAUUUUAAAAAGAAGGAUUCCUCUGCACAAGCUCUCUCAUAUUUGUUUACUGCCAUCCAUGUUAAGAUGUGACUUGCUCUUCCUGGCUUUCUGCUAUGAUUAUGAGGCUUCCCCUGCCACGUGGAACUCCUAGUCCAAAGACGUUUACAUCCUGGAAGAGAACUUGCUGGCUUUUCACCUCAGCAUGUAUGGGCCAAACUAAUAUAACAAGAAGUCUUGAGAGGAGUCAGCGGCCAAGCUCCAUGUCUUGCAGCCAAACAAUGCUGUGGGAUGGAAGGUGGGAUGUCAUGUGUCUGGUUUACAGCACUCACGUAUCAGUUGGCAGUUAACGGAAGUGCUACUGAUUGGUGAUAUGCCUACUCCCCCUUCACCUUCGAUCAUGAUUGUAAACUUCGUGAGGACAUCACCAAAGGCUGACAUUGGCAACAUGCUUCCUGUACAAUCUGCAGAACAACGAUGGAACAAAAUAAACACCUUUUCUUUAUAAAUUACCCGGCUUCAUGUAUUCCUUCAUAACAAUGCAAAGCAGCCUAAUACAAAUUGUCAGUGAGUAGGCAGAUUUUCAGAAUGUAUGGCUAAUUGGAAUUUCCAUGGUCCUAUAUGAGAAGAGAUUUGAAGUAAUUCCAUAGAAUGUUAUGAGCGCCCUGGGAGAAGAAAAAGGGUGAUUUUUCAGAAGGAAAAGAGUGUAAGAAAAACAUGAAAUUCAAUUUUCCAAUGACAGUUCUG
rnacentral:lncRNA from 10 species